UGAGGAAUAUUGGUCAAUGGGCGCAAGCCUGAACCAGCCAUCCCGCGUGAAGGAAGAAGGCGCUAUGCGUUGUAAACUUCUUUUCCAGGGGGAGAAUUUUUCCGUCGUGACGGGAAUUGACGGUACUCUGGGAAUAAGCAUCGGCUAACUCCGUGCCAGCAGCCGCGGUAAUACGGAGGAUGCGAGCGUUAUCCGGAUUUAUUGGGUUUAAAGGGUGCGUAGGCGGACUAUUAAGUCAGUGGUGAAAUCCUGCAGCUUAACUGCAGAACUGCCAUUGAUACUGAUAGCCUUGAGUUUGGUUAAGGUAGGCGGAAUGUGUAAUGUAGCGGUGAAAUGCUUAGAUAUUACACAGAACACCAAUUGCGUAGGCAGCUUACUGAGCCGACACUGACGCUGAGGCACGAAAGCGUGGGGAUCGAACAGG
rnacentral:rRNA from 1 species